rnacentral:lncRNA from 1 species
GAGGAAGUGAGAGCUAGAGUAGCAGGAAAUGUGGUCAGAGAGGUAACAGGGAGCCAGGCCGUGCAGGGCCUCGUAGGCCACUAGAAAUUCUUUGGCUUUUGCUGUACGUGAGAUCUGAAGUCCCUGAAGGCUUGGCUUCUUAGAGGAGUGACAAGUUCUGAGUUGCAUGUUGCUAGGAGCCCUGUGGCUGCUUGGUGGUGAGGAGGCUGGAGUUGGCCUCGGGGUGAAGCAGAGAGACCAGCUAAGAGGGCGCUGCCCAGUAAUCCUGGUGACAGACGGUGGGCCCUGUGAGUGAAGUCUGUGUGCGCUUCUUGUCCUGCAGAGGGAACAAGCAGGACGAGGAGGAGAACCAGGUGUCAGCAUGAAGAAAAUGAGAGCGCUGGGGAGAACGAAGGCAGGCUGUUUCCUUCAGUGCAUUCAUUAGCAACUGUAUCAAGGAAUAGCCUCAGUGCUGCGAGGGCAGCCCUUGAAUGAGAAAGUUUCAAUCACAAGGACUCCCAGAUGCAGAUGGACUGUCUCUAGUCCUGGCCUCUUCCCUGCGCCUGGUGGGUGAGCAGGCCAGGCCUAGCUGAAUGUCUUCGUGGGCCACUUCUUAUGGAGUGCUGUUUGUUUGGCACGUUUACAUCAAACGUACAGUUUCACCAGCCAAAGCAACGACAAGGGAAUUCCAUUCCUGGCUGGGUCUUUCCCUGAAGGCAUCAGAGGGCAUUCAUGUAUAUUGUCUAUACCACCUCUCUCCCACCCAUUUCCUUCAAAUCCCCAGGCCAUGAGGAACACAUUUCUCCAUCCCAGACUGCAGGGGUUUCUUGCCACCCUACCACCACCAUCCCCACUCCCUUCUCCUAGCAAGAAAGAGUCCUAAGGAGAAGAAGGGUCCAGUAACCACCAGACCAUGCCAGAUCCUCCUUAGUGGGUUGGCUAGAACUCUGAGUCUGGGCACUCACCUGUGUUAGUAAUCUUUAUUCUGUCAAAAUCUUAAAAAUUUUUAAUUAAUGACUAAGUAUUUAGUUUAAUAUUACCUUUACUUUAGUUACUAAGCCACACAAACACAAACUCACACUCAUAC